GACGAACGCUGGCGGCGUGCUUAACACAUGCAAGUCGAACGGAAAGGCCCUGCUUGCAGGGUGCUCGAGUGGCGAACGGGUGAGUAACACGUGGGUGAUCUGCCCCUUACUUUGGGAUAAGCCUGGGAAACUGGGUCUAAGACUGGAUAGGACCAUGCUGUAGGUGGUGUGGUGGAAAGAUUUUUUCGGUAAGGGAUGAGCUCGCGGCCUAUCAGCUUGUUGGUGGGGUAAUGGCCUACCAAGGCGUCGACGGGUAGCCGGCCUGAGAGGGUGGACGGCCACAUUGGGACUGCGAUACGGCCCAGACUCCUACGGGAGGCGGCUGUGAGGAAUAUUGCGCUAUGGGCGCAAGCCUGAUGCAGCGACGCCGCGUGGGGGAUGGCGGCCUUCGGGUUGUAAUCUCCUUUCAGCCAUGACGAAGCCUCUUUUGGGGUGACGGUAGUGGUAGAAGAAGCACCGGCUAACUACGUG
rnacentral:rRNA from 1 species